rnacentral:tRNA from 1 species
GCGCCCUUAGCUCAGCUGGGUAGAGCGUUUGACUACGAAUCAAUAGGUAGGGCGUCCGACUCUCGCAGGGCGCUCCA